UGGGGAAUAUUCCGCAAUGGGCGAAAGCCUGACGGAGCGAUACCGCGUGUAGGAUGAAGGCUUUAGGGUCGUAAACUACUGUCGGCGGGGAAGAAACAAAUGACGGUACCCGCAAAGGAAGCACCGGCUAACUCUGUGCCAGCAGCCGCGGUAAGACAGAGGGUGCAAGCGUUAUCCGGAUUUAUUGGGCGUAAAACGUCUGUAGGCGGUUCUUUAAGUCUGUGGUUAAAUAGUCCAGCUCAACUGGAUUCUGCCAUGGAUACUGAAGAACUAGAGUAUGUGAGGGGUUAGUGGAAUUCCCGGUGUAGUGGUGAAAUACGUAGAUAUCGGGAGGAACUCCAGAGGCGAAAGCGACUAACUGGCGCAUUACUGACGCUGAGAGACGAAAGCGUGGGGAGCA
rnacentral:rRNA from 1 species